rnacentral:rRNA from 1 species
CUUUUUUUGAUCAGUGAAACUAAUCUCCCCGUGAAAAAGCGGGAAUUUACUUAUAAGACGAGAAGACCCUAUGGAGCUUUAAACAAAUUAACAUACGCUAUUACUUUAUUAUCUUAAGAGUUACAACAAAUAAUAUAGCAAUCUGAUUAAAAGUUUUCGAUUGGGGUGAUCACGGAGUAAAAAACAACCUCCACGUCGAACGGAUUAAAAUCCUGAACAAAAAGCUACAGCUUUAUGCACUAAUACAUUAACGCCUUUGACCCAUUUUUUGAUCAACGAACCAAGUUACCCUAGGGAUAACAGCGCAAUCUGCUUCGAGAGCCCCUAUCGACAAGCGGGUUUACGACCUCGAUGUUGGAUCAGGGUAUCCCAGUGGUGCAGCCGCUACUAAUGGUUCGUUUGUUCAACGAUUAAAACCCUACGUGAUCUGAGUUCAGACCGGA